UCAGCGGCGGACGGGUGAGUAACACGUGGGCAACCUGCCCGCAAGACCGGGAUAACUCCGGGAAACCGGAGCUAAUACCGGAUAACACCGAAGACCGCAUGGUCUUCGGUUGAAAGGCGGCCUUUGGGCUGUCACUUGCGGAUGGGCCCGCGGCGCAUUAGCUAGUUGGUGAGGUAACGGCUCACCAAGGCGACGAUGCGUAGCCGGCCUGAGAGGGUGACCGGCCACACUGGGACUGAGACACGGCCCAGACUCCUACGGGAGGCAGCAGUAGGGAAUCUUCCGCAAUGGGCGAAAGCCUGACGGAGCGACGCCGCGUGAGCGAAGAAGGCCUUCGGGUCGUAAAGCUCUGUUGUGAGGGACGAAGGAGCGCCGUUUGAAGAAGGCGGCGCGGUGACGGUACCUCACGAGAAAGCCCCGGCUAACUACGUGCCAGCAGCCGCGGUAAUACGUA
rnacentral:rRNA from 1 species